UACGUAAGGUGCAAGCGUUUGUCCGGAAUUAUUGGGCGUAAAGAGCUCGUAGGCGGUCUGUCGCGUCGGAUGUGAAAACUCGGGGCUCAACCCCGAGCCUGCAUUCGAUACGGGCAGACUAGAGUUCGGUAGGGGAGACUGGAAUUCCUGGUGUAGCGGUGAAAUGCGCAGAUAUCAGGAGGAACACCGGUGGCGAAGGCGGGUCUCUGGGCCGAUACUGACGCUGAGGAGCGAAAGCGUGGGGAGCGAACAGG
rnacentral:rRNA from 1 species